CUGCAGCCCGGCCUGAGUGGAGCUCUUUUUCUUUUUUAUCAAAAAAGAAAAAAGCGGGAACGGAGGACGGAUAAAGC
rnacentral:misc_RNA from 1 species